AGUUGAGCGAAGCUUUUUGGUAGUUUACUACUAGAAAUGACUGAGCGGCGAACGGGUGAGUAACGCGUGAGCAAUCUACCUUAGUUACUGGGAUAGCCCGAGGAAACUCGGAUUAAUACCGGAUAUUCUUAUUUUUUCACAUGAAGUUUUAAGGAAAGGUCAGCCGAACUAAGAUGAGCUCGCGUUCUAUCAGCUAGUUGGUGGGGUAAAAGCCUACCAAGGCUACGACGGAUAGCUGGUCUGAGAGGACGAUCAGCCACACUGGGACUGAGACACGGCCCAGACUCCUACGGGAGGCUGCAGCAGGGAAUAUUGUGCAAUGAGCGAAAGCUUGACACAGCGACACCGCGUGUGGGAUGACGGUUCUAGGAUUGUAAACCACUUUCAGGAGGGAAGAAAAUGACGGUACCUCCACAAGAAGACCCGGCCAACUAUGUGCCAGCAGCCGCGGUAAUACAUAGGGGUCAAGCGCUGUCCGGAUUUAUUGGGCGUAAAGAGCUCGUAGGCGGUUCAACAAGUCGGUCGUAAAAGUUUAGGGCUCAACCCUAAAAUGUCGAUCGAUACUGUUGUGACUAGGAUACGGUAGAGGUGAAUGGAAUUCCGAGUGUAGCGGUGAAAUGCGUAGAUAUUCGGAGGAACACCAAUUGCGAAGGCAGUUCACUGGACCGUGAUCGACGCUGAGGAGCGAAAGCUAGGGGAGCAAACAGGAUUAGAUACCCUGGUAGUCCUAGCUGUAAACGAUGGAUACUAGAUGUAGGAACUGGAUUGACGGUUUCUGUAUCGUAGCUAACGCGUUAAGUAUCCCGCCUGGGGAGUACGGUCGCAAGACUAAAACUCAAGGAAUUGACGGGACCCCGCACAAGCGGCGGAGCAUGCGGCUUAAU
rnacentral:rRNA from 1 species